rnacentral:rRNA from 1 species
GACGAACGCUGGCGGCGUGCUUAACACAUGCAAGUCGAACGGAAAGGCCCUGCUUUUGUGGGGUGCUCGAGUGGCGAACGGGUGAGUAACACGUGAGUAACCUGCCCUUGACUUUGGGAUAACUUCAGGAAACUGGGGCUAAUACCGGUUAGGAGCUCCUGCUGCAUGGUGGGGGUUGGAAAGUUUCGGCGGUUGGGGAUGGACUCGCGGCUUAUCAGCUUGUUGGUGGGGUAGUGGCUUACCAAGGCUUUGACGGGUAGCCGGCCUGAGAGGGUUACCGGCCACAUUGGGACUGAGAUACGGCCCAGACUCCUACGGGAGGCAGCAGUGGGGAAUAUUGCACAAUGGGCGGAAGCCUGAUGCAGCAACGCCGCGUGCGGGAUGACGGCCUUCGGGUUGUAAACCGCUUUCGCCUGUGACGAAGCGUGAGUGACGGUAAUGGGUAAAGAAGCACCGGCUAACUACGUG